AUGCUCUUAAGAGUGCAUGUGACUGUAGCCUCAGCUGAAAGAAGUUUCUCUAAACUUAAACUACUGAAAAAUUAUUUGAGGUCAACUAUGUUGCAAGAUAGAUUACAUGGCUUGGCUAUAUGCUGCAUUGAGAAGGAUAUCUUAGACAAUUUUGAUCUUGAUUGUGCCCUUAAUGACUUUGCAUCAAGAAACGUCCGAAGAAACUUUUUCUGA
rnacentral:rRNA from 1 species